rnacentral:rRNA from 1 species
UUGGGGCGUGGCUUAAGUAUGCAGUCGAGCGAGAAGUUACUUCGGUAAGCGGACAGCGGCAACCCUACAGUAAUGUGUAGGUACCUACCCCCGGAUCCGGCCUUUAUGCGGGAAACUGCAAGUAAUACCGGAUAACGUCUCCGGACCAAAGGUGUGAUUCCGUCUGGGGAGGGGCCUGCAUCCUAUUAGCUUGUUGGUGAGGUAAUGGCUUACCAAGGCAACAAUGGGUAGCGGGUGUGAGAGCAUGACCCGCGUCAUUGGGACUGAGACACUGCCCAGACACCUACGGGUGGCUGCAGUCGAGAAUCUUCGGCAAUGGGCGAAAGCCUGACCGAGCGACGCCGCGUGCGUGAUGAAGGCCCUCGGGUUGUAAACCGCUGUCGUUGGGGAGGAAAUGUAUGGGGGCUAUCCCUCAUGCUUGACCUAUCCAAGGAGGAAGUACGGGCUAAGUUCGUGCCAGCAGCCGCGGUAAGACGAACCGUACGAACGUUAUUCGGAAUUACUGGGCUUAAAGGGUGCGUAAGCUGCGCGGAAAGUUGGGUGUGAAAGCCCUCAGCUCAACUGAGGAAUUGCAUCCAAAACUGCCGUGCUCGAGGGAGACAGAGGUGAGCGGAACUCAGGGUGGAGAGGUGAAAUGCGUUGAUAUCUUGAGGAACACCGGUGGAGAAAGCGGCUCACUGGGUCUCUUCUGACGCUGAGGCACGAAAGCUAAGGUAGCAAACGGGAUUAGAUACCCCGGUAGUCUUAGCUGUAAACGAUGAGCACUUGAUUGGAGGGUCCUCCAUAGCCUUCCAGUCAUAGCCAAAGUGUUUAGUGCUCCGCCUGGGGAGUAUGGUCUCAGGGUGAAACUCAAAGAAUUUGACGGGGGCUCACACAAGCGGUGGAGGAUGUGGCUUAAUUCGAGCUACGCGAAGAACUUAUCCUAACCUUUAAAUGCAGGAAUAACCCUGGGAAACCAGGCCCCCCUUCCGGUGGAACGGCACAGGGCUUCAUGGCUUCUUCCGCUCGGUCUUGGAAUGUCCGUUAAUCGCUUAAGACCAAAACCCU